rnacentral:rRNA from 1 species
GACGAACGCUGGCGGCGUGCCUAACACAUGCAAGUCGAGCGCAGGAAGCCGUCUGAACCCUUCGGGGGGACGACGGUGGAAUGAGCGGCGGACGGGUGAGUAACACGUAAAGAACCUGCCCAUAGGUCUGGGAUAACCACGAGAAAUCGGGGCUAAUACCGGAUGUGUCAGCGGACCGCAUGGUCCGCUGAUGAAAGGCGCUUCGGCGUCGCCCAUGGAUGGCUUUGCGGUGCAUUAGCUAGUUGGUGGGGUAACGGCCCACCAAGGCGACGAUGCAUAGCCGACCUGAGAGGGUGAUCGGCCACACUGGGACUGAGGCACGGCCCAGACUCCUACGGGAGGCAGCAGUAGGGAAUCUUCCACAAUGGACGAAAGUCUGAUGGAGCAACGCCGCGUGAACGAUGAAGGCUUUCGGGUCGUAAAGUUCUGUUGUAAGGGAAGAACAAGUGCCGCAGGCAAUGGCGGCACCUUGACGGUACCUUGCGAGAAAGCCACGGCUAACUACGUGCCAGCCGCCGCAGUAACAC